CUGCUCAGGACGAACGCUGGCGGCAUGCCUAAUACAUGCAAGUCGAGCGAAUGACGAAGAAGCUUGCUUCUUCUGAUUUAGCGGCGGACGGGUGAGUAACACGUGGGCAACCUGCCCUGUAGAUUGGGAUAACUCCGGGAAACCGGGGCUAAUACCGAAUAAUCCAUUUCCUCACAUGGGGAGAUGUUAAAAGACGGUCUCGGCUGUCACUACAGGAUGGGCCCGCGGCGCAUUAGCUAGUUGGUGAGGUAACGGCUCACCAAGGCGACGAUGCGUAGCCGACCUGAGAGGGUGAUCGGCCACACUGGGACUGAGACACGGCCCAGACUCCUACGGGAGGCAGCAGUAGGGAAUCUUCCACAAUGGACGAAAGUCUGAUGGAGCAAUGCCGCGUGAGUGAAGAAGGUUUUCGGAUCGUAAAACUCUGUUGUGAGGGAAGAACAAGUACGAGAGUAACUGCUCGUACCUUGACGGUACCUCAUUA
rnacentral:rRNA from 1 species